rnacentral:rRNA from 1 species
GCCUUUCGGUUCGGGAUAACGUCUGGAAACGGACGCUAACACCGGAUACGUCCUUCGGGAGAAAGUUUACGCCGAGAGAGGGGCCCGCGUCCGAUUAGGUAGUUGGUGGGGUAAUGGCCCACCAAGCCGACGAUCGGUAGCUGGUCUGAGAGGAUGAUCAGCCACACUGGGACUGAGACACGGCCCAGACUCCUACGGGAGGCAGCAGUGGGGAAUAUUGGACAAUGGGGGCAACCCUGAUCCAGCAAUGCCGCGUGAGUGAUGAAGGCCUUAGGGUUGUAAAGCUCUUUCGCACGCGACGAUGAUGACGGUAGCGUGAGAAGAAGCCCCGGCUAACUUCGUGCCAGCAGCCGCUUGUAAUACGAAGGGGGCGAGCGUUGUUCGGAAUUACUGGGCGUAAAGGGC